UCAGCGGCGGACGGGUGAGUAAUGCCUAGGAAUCUGCCUGGUAGUGGGGGACAACGUUUCGAAAGGAACGCUAAUACCGCAUACGUCCUACGGGAGAAAGCAGGGGACCUUCGGGCCUUGCGCUAUCGGAUGAGCCUAGGUCGGAUUAGCUAGUUGGUGGGGUAAAGGCUCACCAAGGCGACGAUCCGUAACUGGUCUGAGAGGAUGAUCAGUCACACUGGAACUGAGACACGGUCCAGACUCCUACGGGAGGCAGCAGUGGGGAAUAUUGGACAAUGGGCGAAAGCCUGAUCCAGCCAUGCCGCGUGUGUGAAGAAGGUCUUCGGAUUGUAAAGCACUUUAAGCUGGGAGGAAGGGCAGUAAGUUAAUACCUUGCUGUUUUGACGUUACCAGCAGAAUAAGCACCGGCUAACUUCGUGCCAGCAGCCGCGGUAAUACGAAGGGUGCAAGCGUUAAUCGGAAUUACUGGGCGUAAAGCGCGCGUAGGUGGUUCGUUAAGUUGGAUGUGAAAGCCCCGGGCUCAACCUGGGAACUGCAUCCAAAACUGGCGAGCUAGAGUAUGGCAGAGGGUGGUGGAAUUUCCUGUGUAGCGGUGAAAUGCGUAGAUAUAGGAAGGAACACCAGUGGCGAAGGCGACCACCUGGGCUAAUACUGACACUGAGGUGCGAAAGCGUGGGGAGCAAACAGGAUUAGAUACCCUGGUAGUCCACGCCGUAAACGAUGUCAACUAGCCGUAGGGAGCAUCUGGCUCUUUGUGGCGCAGCUAACGCGAUAAGUUGACCGCCUGGGGAGUACGGCCGCAAGGCUAAAAACUCAAAAUGAAUUGACGGGGGCCCGCACAAGCGGUGGAGCAUGUGGUUUAAUUCGAUGCAACGCGAAAAAACCUUA
rnacentral:rRNA from 1 species